rnacentral:rRNA from 1 species
AGUGAACGCUGGCGGUAGGCCUAACACAUGCAAGUCGAACGGCAGCACAGUAAGAGCUUGCUCUUACGGGUGGCGAGUGGCGGACGGGUGAGGAAUACAUCGGAAUCUACUUUUUCGUGGGGGAUAACGUAGGGAAACUUACGCUAAUACCGCAUACGCCCUACGGGUGAAAGCAGGGGAUCUUCGGACCUUGCGCGAUUGAAUGAGCCGAUGUCGGAUUAGCUAGUUGGCGGGGUAAAGGCCCACCAAGGCGACGAUCCGUAGCUGGUCUGAGAGGAUGAUCAGCCACACUGGAACGGAAACACGGGCCAGAGUCCUACGGGAGGAAGCAGUGGGGCAUAGUGGACAAUGGGCGCAAGCCUGAUACAGCCAUACCGCGUGGGUGAAGAAGGCCUUCGGGUUGUAAAGCCCUUUUGUUGGGAAAGAAAAGCAGCAGGUUAAUACCCCGCUGUUCUGACGGUACCCAAAGAAUAAGCACGGGCUAACUUCGUG